GACAAACGCUGGCGGCAUGCCUAACACAUGCAAGUCGAACGGACAGAACAGGGAAGCUUUUCGGAGUGGAACUGGAAAGUUAGUGGCGGAUGGGUGAGUAACGUGUGGACAACCUACCUUGUAAAGGGGAAUAACCUCGAGAAAUCGAAGCUAAUACCCCAUAAUAACCUUGCUUCGCAUGAAGUAAGGAGGAAAGGCGGCCUUAGCGCUGUCGAUACAAGAUGGGUCCGCGUCUGAUUAGCUAGUUGGUGAGGUAAAGGCUCACCAAGGCGACGAUCAGUAGCCGGCCUGAGAGGGUGAACGGCCACAUUGGGACUGAGACACGGCCCAAACUCCUACGGGAGGCAGCAGUGGGGAAUCUUCCGCAAUGGGCGAAAGCCUGACGGAGCAAUGCCGCGUGAGUGAAGAAGGCCUUCGGGUUGUAAAACUCUGUCCUUAUCGAAGAGAGAGUGUUGUAGUAACUGACAAUACUAGGACGGUAGAUGAGGAGGAAGCCCCGGCUAACUAUGUG
rnacentral:rRNA from 1 species